rnacentral:rRNA from 1 species
UAGGGAAUCUUCGGCAAUGGACGAAAGUCUGACCGAGCAACGCCGCGUGAGUGAAGAAGGUUUUCGGAUCGUAAAACUCUGUUGUUAGAGAAGAACAAGGACGUUAGUAACUGAACGUCCCCUGACGGUAUCUAACCAGAAAGCCACGGCUAACUACGUGCCAGCAGCCGCGGUAAUACGUAGGUGGCAAGCGUUGUCCGGAUUUAUAGGGCGUAAAGCGAGCGCAGGCGGUUUCUUAAGUCUGAUGUGAAAGCCCCCGGCUCAACCGGGGAGGGUCAUUGGAAACUGGGAGACUUGAGUGCAGAAGAGGGGAGUGGAAUUCCAUGUGUAGCGGUGAAAUGCGUAGAGAUAUGGAGGAACACCAGUGGCGAAGGCGGCUCUCUGGUCUGUAACUGACGCUGAGGCUCGAAAGCGUGGGGAGCAAACAGG